CUUGUCUGGUUUAAUAGAAAAAUCAUAUAAUCUGAUAUGUUUUUAAAGAUACUGCCCCUUUUUCUUGUUGAAACUAAAAGUAAAAACCUCUUUGAACAUUUUGAAAAUCACAACCAACCAAUGAGUGCACAGGAAUGUUAACGAGCAGGUCCUCUGUCACUAAUUUCACUGUAACAAGAAACCCAGGUGACGAAAAUCUGUUAUUUUAAAAGCCCUGGCUUGAAGCCUGGUUUAGAAAGAAUAGAUAGAUUGGUGAUUUGUUUCAUCUGUAAUCAAGAUGGCAGUUUCAAACUUUAUGUUUUUAGUAUUUAUGUGUCACCAACUGGUGCUCAAUGGAUUUGCUUUUCCAGUUGGGCAUCAUUUAUUGAGCAAAGAUGGCCCCUUGUGUUUUCUUCGUGUGAACAAACAAAAUCAAACAUGGCCAGUGGUUGUGAAGUGUAAUAUGGCUGUUCUGAUGUCUUUGCAGAAUGCAUCUGGGCUAACUGUCCAAAA